UCUCUCAGCCAUUCGUCUUGAGCAAAGCAGGCGGAUAUCUGCUGCCAAGGAAACUGUCACCCAAAAAUUCCCUUGGAAUUUGGGCUCUAUUACUGCGGCAAUUAUCCCUCACUGGAUUUGAUGGGAUUCCCAAGGAAUUAAUGCAGCCAUUGAUCUAUGUAGCAAGUGCAUGUGACACCCUGUUUUUCUACACAUCUGAGAAAGGGAAUACUGUACGAGCAUGAGUCCGGGAGUGGUUGCGGGUGCGGGUGCGAGUGACGGCACAACGAAAAUGGCUCAAGAGCUCGAGUGCUGCAGCUCGAAUGUUGCCAUAAAUAUUGAAGCGCCACAGACCGCUACACCAUCUACAUGUAGACGAUUCGUUUACACAGAGAAAAUUUGUUGAUAUUCUUCGGUUUGUUUCAAGGUACUAGGCGUUAAAUAAAACAAAAUAAGCCCAAUCCCCUAUACUGAAGCAAAGGUCUUGCUUGAAGUCAAAAUAGUACCAAAAAUCAGGAAUACCAUUAGAUCGGUCUAUAGUGGCGGCUCUUUCAAAAACCAUGCACAACAUACAUACUGUACGAGCAUGUGCGUGGACUUCCUAUUGAAAGGAUACCUGGCCAAAAGGUGAAAGGCAGUUUCAGCUCAUUUCGGGAGCAGAGAAAUGCUCCCAGUCCGGCUGGCAGCACGAAGCAGCGGCAAAUUGAAAGUUCAAUCAGAUUUAGAUGGAGUUGGGGGCCAUUGGUGUGGGUAUGUGCAUGUGCAUAAA
rnacentral:sRNA from 1 species